rnacentral:rRNA from 1 species
UACAGAGGGUGCAAGCGUUAAUCGGAAUUACUGGGCGUAAAGCGUGCGUAGACGGUAGCGUAAGUCGGGUGUGAAAGCCCCGGGCUCAACCUGGGAAUGGCAUUCGAGACUGCUCUGCUAGGGUGCGGAAGAGGGGAGCGGAAUUUCCGGUGUAGCGGUGAAAUGCGUAGAUAUCGGAAGGAACACCAGUGGCGAAAGCGGCUCCCUGGUCCAGCACCGACGUUCAGGCACGAAAGCGUGGGGAGCAAACAGGAUUAGAUACCCUGGUAGUCCACGCCAUAAACGAUGAGAACUAGACGUUGAAGGGGUAAGCCCUGCAGUGUCGUAGCUAACGCGCUAAGUUCUCCGCCUGGGGAGUACGGCCGCAAGGUUGAA